rnacentral:lncRNA from 1 species
CUUCCAUGUUUGUCAAUCCUACUCCACUAUUUCCUAUUUAUCUCACUCCCAUUUUAUGCAGAUCCACUCUUACUGCCUCUCCACCUCCUUCUAGGCGGUCAUACAGAUCUUCCAUCUGGUCUUUCCCAAAACACAAUGUGUACAAGUUGAUUGUUAUUACUGCAUUAUCACAUGUCCUGCCCAUAUUGUCUAUUGGCCUUUACACAUCUCACCAGAUUCUCCUUUAUUACUGCAUUAUCACAUGUCCUGCCCAUAUCGACGCUCGCAAAUAAGAACAUCGUAACUCGAUUUUUUGCAAAAAUGAGUUAAGAUCGUUUUUCUAUAUAAAAAUGCAUGCUUUUUCAGGUAAAAUAAAAAUUAAAAACGUUUUUUCAAAAAAAUAAAUUUUUUUGAAAAAAGUUGUUAUAUCGUAUCUUAUUUCGUGGUAAACUGGCCCUAAUAUUAGCGUAACUUGAUUUACCACCUUACGGCAUUACAUACAAAGCAAAUAAUUUUGUCGUAUCUAGAGUUACAAGAAAUUUAUCAACAAUAUUACUCAUGUACUUUUAUCGUAAGUACAUACUUGCAUACUUACGAUAAUAUUGUAGCUCUAGAGUUAAAUCGUUUUAUCGUAUGUAGGAAUAAGAUUAAACAUUUUUGUUUUACCCAGUGCUGAUCGCAUCGAAACUUGAUAUACGAUGUUAUUACGCCUACAUUUCUGCGACUCACAGUUUCUGUAGACAAGCUGAGACAAGUUACGAUGCGAAUACGCACUAGUUCCGAUAAUAUUAGUCUUUGUUUACAAAUAUCUAGUAAAUACACGGUAUUUAAUUGUCUGUGUAGUUUUUUCUUUUUAAACUAGGUAUAAAAGAACAGGUCUUAAAAGUUUUUUUAUUCCAGAUUGAAACUGAAAUUCAACAGCAAACCUUAUUUGAUGAUUUUACUGUUGAAAAUGAGUCCAGUUUGUCCUUAAGUGCGGGUCCAUCGGAGAUUUUGGAAAGUGCGAAUGAGAUGGAUCAGUCCCAAAUGAAUAUAGCAAAGACCCCCGGUAGAGAAAGAUACAGACAACCACAGAACUGGAAAGUUCAAGAAGCAAAAAGAAAAAGAAAUUCGGGCCAAGAGUAUGUCUCGUACUCUACAAAGAAAACAGUAAAACCUAGCAAAUAAAAAGAAAGUUGUGAAAAGAAAAAUUGUAGAACGAAAUUCUACACAAAAAUUUCGGAAGAUCAAAGAACUAUUUUUCAAAAAUUUUGGGCUCUGGGUAAUCAAAACAGGCACAUGGACUUUUUAGCAAAACAUGUAACGAGAGAACAAAAAAAA